rnacentral:rRNA from 1 species
AGAUGACGUCACGUCAGUAUGGCCCUUACGCCUAGGGCUACACACGUGCUACAAUGGUCGGUACAAAGGGUUGCCAAACCGCGAGGUGGAGCUAAUCCCAUAAAGCCGGCCUCAAUUCGGAUUGAAGGCUGCAAUUCGCCUUCAUGAAGCUGGAAUCGCUAGUAACCGCAGAUCAGCCUUGCUGCGGUGAAUACGUUCCCGGGUCUUGUACACACCGCCUGUCAAGUCACCUGAGUCGAGUGCACCCGAAGCCAUUAGUUUAACCUGCAAAGGGGAACGAUGUCUAAGGUGUGCUUGGCGAGGAGGACUAAGUCAUAACAAGGUAGUUGUACCGGAAGGUGCAUCUGGAUCACCUCCUUU